rnacentral:rRNA from 1 species
AGAGUUUGAUCCUGGCUCAGAUUGAACGCUAGCGGGAUGCUUUACACAUGCAAGUCGAACGGCAGCGCGGACUUCGGUCUGGCGGCGAGUGGCGAACGGGUGAGUAAUAUAUCGGAACGUGCCUGGUAGCGGGGGAUAACUACGCGAAAGCGUGGCUAAUACCGCAUACGCCCUACGGGGGAAAGGGGGGGAUCGCAAGACCUCUCACUAUCAGAGCGGCCGAUAUCAGAUUAGCUAGUUGGUGAGGUAAAGGCUCACCAAGGCGACGAUCUGUAGCUGGUUUGAGAGGACGACCAGCCACACUGGGACUGAGACACGGCCCAGACUCCUACGGGAGGCAGCAGUGGGGAAUUUUGGACAAUGGGGGAAACCCUGAUCCAGCCAUCCCGCGUGUGCGAUGAAGGCCUUCGGGUUGUAAAGCACUUUUGGCAGGGAAGAAACGGCGCGUCCGAAUACGGCGCGUCACUGACGGUACCUGCAGAAUAAGCACCGGCUAACUACGUGCCAGCAGCCGCGGUAAUACGUAGGGUGCAAGCGUUAAUCGGAAUUACUGGGCGUAAAGCGUGCGCAGGCGGUUCGGAAAGAAAGAUGUGAAAUCCCAGAGCUUAACUUUGGAACUGCAUUUUUAACUGCCGAGCUAGAGUAUGUCAGAGGG